rnacentral:rRNA from 1 species
GACGAACGCUGGCGGCGUGCUUAACACAUGCAAGUCGAGCGGUAAGGCCCUUUCGGGGGUACACGAGCGGCGAACGGGUGAGUAACACGUGGGUGACCUGCCCUCAGCUCUGGGAUAAGCCUGGGAAACCGGGUCUAAUACUGGAUAUGACUCCAUGACGCAUGUUGUGGGGUGGAAAGCCUUGUGCGGCUGAGGAUGGGCCCGCGGCCUAUCAGCUUGUUGGUGGGGUGAGGCCUACCAAGGCGACGACGGGUAGCCGGCCUGAGAGGGCGACCGGCCACACUGGGACUGAGACACGGCCCAGACUCCUACGGGAGGCAGCAGUGGGGAAUCUUGCGCAAUGGGCGAAAGCCUGACGCAGCGACGCCGCGUGAGGGAUGACGGCCUUGG